UGGGGAAUAUUGGACAAUGGGCGAAAGCCUGAUCCAGCCAUGCCGCGUGUGUGAAGAAGGCCUUUUGGUUGUAAAGCACUUUAAGUGGGGAGGAAAAGCUUAUGGUUAAUACCCAUAAGCCCUGACGUUACCCACAGAAUAAGCACCGGCUAACUCUGUGCCAGCAGCCGCGGUAAUACAGAGGGUGCAAGCGUUAAUCGGAAUUACUGGGCGUAAAGCGCGCGUAGGCGGUUAUUUAAGUCAGAUGUGAAAGCCCCGGGCUUAACCUGGGAACUGCAUCUGAUACUGGAUAACUAGAGUAGGUGAGAGGGGAGUAGAAUUCCAGGUGUAGCGGUGAAAUGCGUAGAGAUCUGGAGGAAUACCGAUGGCGAAGGCAGCUCCCUGGCAUCAUACUGACACUGAGGUGCGAAAGCGUGGGUAGCAAACAGGAUUAGAUACCCUGGUAGUCCACGCCGUAAACGAUGUUUACCAGUCGUUGGGUCUUUUAAAGACUUAGUGACGCAGUUAACGCAAUAAGUAGACCGCCUGGGGAGUACGGCCGCAAGGUUA
rnacentral:rRNA from 1 species